UACGUAGGUGGCAAGCGUUGUCCGGAUUUAUUGGGCGUAAAGCGAGCGCAGGCGGUUUCUUAAGUCUGAUGUGAAAGCCCCCGGCUCAACCGGGGAGGGUCAUUGGAAACUGGGAGACUUGAGUGCAGAAGAGGAGAGUGGAAUUCCAUGUGUAGCGGUGAAAUGCGUAGAGAUCUGGAGGAAUACCGGUGGCGAAGGCGGCCCCCUGGACAAAGACUGACGCUCAGGUGCGAAAGCGUGGGGAGCAAACAGG
rnacentral:rRNA from 1 species